rnacentral:rRNA from 1 species
UACAGAGGGUGCGAGCGUUAAUCGGAAUUACUGGGCGUAAAGCGCACGUAGUCGGCUUUGCAAGUCGGGUGUGAAAUCCCCGGGCUCAACCUGGGAACUGCAUCCGAGACUGCAUUGCUAGAGUAUGGGAGGGGGAAGCGGAAUUCCUGGUGUAGCGGUGAAAUGCGCAGAUAUCAGGAGGAACACCGGUGGCGAAGGCGGGUCUCUGGGCCGAUACUGACGCUGAGGAGCGAAAGCGUGGGGAGCGAACAGG